rnacentral:lncRNA from 1 species
CAGUGAUUCAAUUCUAUGGGAAGCCUUUACAAAAACCUUUCCACCUGUCCCGACAUCCACAGCCCUUCUGUUCAUCUCCUGGGUCCCAGGCCCAGGUGUGGUUGGGUUCAGAAUGCUUCUGCCUUACACCUGACCACAUGCCAGGCCAAGGUCAUGGACAAAGUCAGGCCCAGAUCAGAACUGGAGCUUCCCGUGCAGAAAGAACCCAGAGACAAGAAUUCCUCAGUGGCGCCACAGGUGAAGGAUGCAGGGAGAUCCCUUCUUGCCAAGCCCAGGUCAUGGAAAGGUGCAUCAGAGGUUCUAUAGAGGAUUCAAGAGGACACCAGGGAUACCCAGCCCUUGACAGAUACAGUUGUCAUAGGUUCUGGGCCCCUGGCCUGCUUUGCACACCUGAGUCCCUUUAAUGGGUCCUCAGAGAGGGAGCUUUUGUAUGGGUAUCCUUCCAGAAAGGGACAGAAGUUCCCUGUCAUGUUCCGUGGUUCCAAGAGUAAAGCAUUGAAAAUGUCUUUCUACACAAAAUCUACAAAGCAGAAGAGGGCAUUCCUCAUCCAGGGCCUUCAGAUCCUACCCAGGGCUUCCUCUCUCUGCACCUGGACUGUAUUUUCCUCCUUGCCCCACGUCACCGUGCAAACACAGAAGUCUUCUUUGGAGAAGGCACGA